rnacentral:rRNA from 1 species
UACGAAGGGGUGCUAGCGUUGCUCGGAAUGACUGGGCGUAAAGGGCGCGUAGGCGGCUUGCACAGUCAGGCGUGAAAUUCCUGGGCUCAACCUGGGGACUGCGCUUGAGACGUGUGGGCUUGAGUGGGGAAGAGGGUCGUGGAAUUCCCAGUGUAGAGGUGAAAUUCGUAGAUAUUGGGAAGAACACCGGUGGCGAAGGCGGCGACCUGGUCCUUGACUGACGCUGAGGCGCGAAAGCGUGGGGGAGCAAAACAGG